AUCCAGCUGACGCGUCUCAACUAGGAUGAAACGCGCGUCCCGGAU
rfam:Schistosoma curassoni strain Dakar, Senegal genome assembly, scaffold: SCTD_scaffold0017455